UCCAAAGGGGGCUGCUGACACUUUCUCUCCACAGCGCGUAGCUUCACGUCUCUGCCUGUCCUGCCCCAGUUGGUUGACCUGGCCCUUUGAUGCUGGAAAGCGUCCCAGUGAUGACCUCAGUGGACAAGUCACUCCCCUCGGCUGGGCGCCUCCCCUCAGGCUCAGUAAAGUGACUCAUUUCAUUCUCACAACAACCUAUGAGGGACGGUGUCUACAGUCUCCACUUUAAUGAAGAGAAAGCUGAGCCCUACAGCGAGGAUGGACAUCAUGCCCCAGACCCACAGAAAGCGGGCUCCACCCGACUGUAAAGCUCCUCAAGGCGCCUCUGUAUUCCCAGGGCCUCACUGUUUCUGGGACAGAACAGACUGAACGAGUGGACCUUCUUCCAUCCCCAGCCCGCCCUGCCCCAUCCCACCCCACACCUGAUCAGUGAGCUAAUACACACGGGGCUCUCGAA